UGGCGGUAGAUACGUUGAAGCGGCGGUGGGCGUUUAAGGUGGCGCGGAUAGUUACGCGCUUUGUGCCUGUUUUAGUCGUAUAAGACUUGCUAUUUUCUUACAAGGUGUCGAUUUGUGGCUCUUUACUUUGUUAACAUGUUGGCAAAGUUAAAAAUGUAAAGUUUGACUGAGAUAAAGCGGGGUAACCCGCUAAUACGAAGAGUUUUUCACGUCGUAGGAAGAGUUCUCAAUUAAACCACAGUACCGCACAAAUAGGUGUGUUGCGGACGGUGAGCAGAGUCUCUCCCAGGAUUAGCAGGUUUCUGUUCAUUUAGGUAUCUUCGCCCGCACACUGGACACAAUGAAGACAACAUUAUUAAUGGUCCCCAUAUAGUGAGGUAAUUUUCCGCCAUCGCACGUGAGGAUUGAAGCUCUGCUGGAUUAUGUGGCCUGAGGACACAAAAAUGACCUGAAGAUGAAUGGCGUGCAAGAGAUGCCAAUUAACAGAAUAGAUGGCAUCAAGUUGUGGACAUGGCAGACAUUUUAAUUGGGUGAAUGAACAACAAUGGAGAAAAACAGGAAUAAUAGUGACAAAGACUCCACCGUUACGGCUGAGGGUGUAAUUAAGAGAUGGUGUCAGUAUGCACAAUGCACUGAGAGCGGACAGUCAAAGCGAGCGAACAGAGGAAGUCCCACUGCGGCCCUGAAGCCUGUCUCACUGCACUGCGCUCGUUAUCGUAGUGAGAUGCUGAGCAGGAGUUGUGAGAAUAAUUACCUGUCUAAUGCUUGCAAUUAGAUGUCAUCAAUUAGUGCUACUCCUGACUUGAAAUUAUUGGGGUGGGAGGGAAAGGUAGGAGGUAGCGGAACAGCAAGUGUGAUUUGGGAUGGGAGAGAACCAUGGGUGGGUUUGGAGUAGGGGGAGUACUUGGUCUUUUAUGGGAUAGAAAUGUACAGAGCUGUAUGGCCAUUCACAGAAGUGCACUGUAACAAGGGGCAAAAGUGAUGAAAAAUCUUCUAGAAUCUUGGAGAUGCAUAUUGAUUUGUAACUUCAAUAUGUUACAUAAGUAUGAUCUGGGUGUGGAGGAAAUGUAACAUUAGUGAGAGAACCGUCCCCAUAAAGGUUAAAGAAAAUGACCUCCUAAGGCUUUUGUGGAAAAUGUCAAACAGAAAGUUGUGUGACUUGGGUUUUUCUCCAGAACAAAGGGUCCGGCAAAAUGCCUGGAUGUCGUGGCGAUCAACCCCUGACAGCGACACUGUCACUGCGGGGUGGGGCCGCUGGGUCCGGCGGGAUUCACGCCUGGCGUAUCAAGUUCAGCAGAGCUGCCGUCCUAAAUAAACAGCCAUUAGGGACGAGCAAACAGCGAGAGCCAGCUGGUCAGGCCGCCUCCGGAGAGGAAAUGGGACAAAGCGCUUAAGUGCAAAGAUUCCGUACAUUCUAUUUCCGAGGUAUUUUGCGAAUACCUAGGAUGAACCUUCAGAAGACGUUCUACUACUUCAGAUGUGCGUUUUUGUCUGCCUUUCACAUAGACCCGUGGCUUUCAACUUGUGGUUGAAAACAUCUACGGGUGUCUGUUAAAGAGUUUAAUUUCACUCACGGAUUUUCUGUGUCUUAAUGUUCGUGUGUGUGUCAUGUGCUUGUGCUCAAUACCCCCGGACCUGAUCGGAGCUGACAGACAGGCAGCCCCAUGGCUGUCUCCGUCUCCGCGGCUCCACCUUAAGUGCAGCCGUAGCAGUGUUUGUGUUGGAGCCAACAGGCACAAUAUAUUACAGUCUAGGGCUUGCUGCUGAAAAGCUUGCUGGAUCUUCUAGUGACCUGCUGUUCUUUCCUGCUUUCCUGCAUUUUUUCCCUUUUGGAUUCAAAUUAAAAACAGUUCUUGGUCUCUCUUUGCUUUUUUAUUAUUUUU